GAUGAACGCUGGCGGCGUGCCUAAUACAUGCAAGUCGAGCGAACGGACGAGAAGCUUGCUUCUCUGAUGUUAGCGGCGGACGGGUGAGUAACACGUGGAUAACCUACCUAUAAGACUGGGAUAACUUCGGGAAACCGGAGCUAAUACCGGAUAAUAUUUUGAACCGCAUGGUUCAAAAGUGAGAGACGGUCUUGCUGUCACUUAUAGAUGGAUCUGCGCUGCAUUAGCUAGUUGGUAAGGUAACGGCUUACCAAGGCAACGAUGCAUAGCCGACCUGAGAGGGUGAUCGGCCACACUGGAACUGAGACACGGUCCAGACUCCUACGGGAGGCAGCAGUAGGGAAUCUUCCGCAAUGGGCGAAAGCCUGACGGAGCAACGCCGCGUGAGUGAUGAAGGUCUUCGGAUCGUAAAACUCUGUUAUUAGGGAAGAACAUAUGUGUAAGUAACUGUGCACAUCUUGACGGUACCUAAUCAGAAAGCCACGGCUAACUACGUG
rnacentral:rRNA from 1 species